AUGUAGCAAUACAUGGCGUACUGCUCAGUAACACGUGGACAACCUGCCCUUAGGACGGGUAUAAACCCGGGAAACUGGGUAUAAUUCCCGAUAGGUCUCGUCUGCUGGAAUGCAUCGAGAUCCAAAGCUCCGGCGCCUAAGGAUGGGUCUGCGGCCUAUCAGGUAGUAGUGGGUGUAGCGUACCUACUAGCCUACGACGGGUACGGGUUGUGAGAGCAAGAGCCCGGAGAUGGAUUCUGAGACACUAAUCCAGGCCCUACGGGGUGCAGCAGGCGCGAAAACUUUACAAUGCUGGGAACAGCGAUAAGGGAACCUCGAGUGCCAGGUUACAAAUCUGGCUGUCGUGAUGCCUAAAAAGCAUUAUAUAGCAAGGGCCGGGCAAGACCGGUGCCAGCCGCCGCGGUGACACCGGCGGCUCGAGUGGUAACCGUUAUUAUUGGGUCUAAAGGGUCUGUAGCCGGCCGGAUAAGUCUCUUGGGAAAUCUGGCAGCUUAACUGUCAGGCUUUCAGGGGAUACUGUCUGGCUCGAGGCCGGGAGAGGUGAGGGGUACUUCAGGGGUAGGGGUGAAAUCUUGUAAUCCUUGAAGGACCACCAGUGGCGA
rnacentral:rRNA from 1 species